rnacentral:lncRNA from 1 species
GCUAUCAUGCUCGAACUUGAAGCAAAAUUCUCCUGCUAUAUAUUGAGCUAGAUCGUUGACAAGGUCAUGCAUUACGAAACGUGAUUGAUCAUGACUUUGUUGAAAAUUGACCUUGAUAACAGUUCAUUAAAGUACUGCUCGCCUACUUCCUUCUUUCUUCUUUUACUUUUUGGCUGCUGCAAUAGGCUUUUAGCUAUCCACAUUCGAACCAAAUCCCUUUUCUCAAAUUUGUGGCCCUUAGGAAAUAUGGAACAAUAUGCAAAGCAGCGCUUUAGUUGAGAAGGAAGAUAGUGGUAACUCAAUCUUAAGGCAGGUAGAACGUCACUCUUGUGAUCAGGUAGAUCCCAUAUUCUACUAUUCAGUACAUUGUCCCACUCCUCAGCUUCUAUUUGAGAAUGCAGCAGACUCCCAAGUGUUUGAAUAGCCAAAGGCAAACCUUUGCAUUUUUCCACAAUUUUUCCACCAAUUGCUUUCAGAGUAGAAUCUUCAUUCGGGUCUCUAUUUCCAAAUGCAUGCUUUGAAAAUAAUGGCCAGCAAUCUUCUUUAGAUAACCUCUUCAAAUCGUGAACAAGCGCAGGAAGCAUGGUGGAGGCAACACUAAUUAACACAACUAAUUGUCCUGACCUCACUUGUUUGCCAACAAGCAUGGAAAAUCUUACCAAAUUGAAGCAUCUUGACAUCAAGGGGACGCCUAUCUCGCAAAUGCCUCCAAAUUUCGGUAAUUUGAAACGUCUUCAUCUGUUGACUAAUUUUGUUGUGGGCAACAAUAUUGGGUCAACUAUUAGUGAGGUAAAGGAUCUUUCUCUUCUACAUGGCAACCUUUCCAUCUUGCGACUACAGAAUGUCUCUCAAACAGCAGAUGCAGAAAAGGCCAAUUUAAAGGAUAAGAAAUACCUUCGUGAGUUAAUUUUGGAAUGGGAUGUUGAUCCGCGUGAUGGCAAUGCACAAAUUGCAGCACGUAAUCCUCGUAAUGGAAAUAUAGAGAAUGCAGCGGAUAAUCCUCAUAAUGGCCAUGCAGAGAAUGCAGAAGAUGAACCUCUUAAUGGUCGUGCACAGAAUGCAGUAGGUGAUCCAUCUAAUGGUAAUGUGAGGAAUGCCGCAAAUGAUCCUCAAAACAGUGAUGCAGAGAUUGCAGCAGGCAGUCCUCGUAUUAAUGGUAAUACACAGAAUGCAGUGGAUGAUUCUCAGAAUCGUAGUGCGGAGCAUGCAGUGAAUGUACUUGACAAGCUACAGCCUGCCAAGAAUUUGGAGAGGCUCCAGAUUAAAAACUUCUUCGGUAUGAGUUUACCAAGAUGGCUAGGGAAUGCUUUAUUCUCAAAAAUGAAGAGCAUAACCCUUGAAAAUUGCCAAAAUUGCAACUCACUGCCACCACUUGGGCAACUACCCUCGCUCAAAGAACUCGCCAUAUACGGCAUGGCGGGAGUAAAAAUCGUGGGCCCCGAAUUCUACGGUGGUGGUGUCAUCGCCUUCAAGUCCCUGGAAACGAUAUGGUUCGAAAAUAUGGAAAAUUGGGAGCAAUGGUUACCUUUCUGCAAUGAACCAAGAUUCCCGUCCCUUCACACUCUCAUUUUGUUUAGAUGUAGGAAACUGACUGGGGAUCUUCCCACCCAACAUCUCACUUUGGAAGAACAUAUCCAAGAGUGUGACAAUUUAAAAAGAUGUCAAGGUCCGAUAAACGAAUAACCUCUUCUCUAGCAAUUGCAAUAUGGCAAGCUGCGAAAAUCUUCAACCAGCCAGUUUAACUGAUUUCUUGACCCAACUUGAAGAUGUCGAAGUAAGUCCAGUAUUGUUUGUUUGUUCAUCUCUUCGGUUUUCUAGAAUGACACGCUCAAUACAUAGAAGCAUACCUUGAGGAAGUUGGUUUCCCACCUUUGAAUUACUUUCAAUUAACAAUUUCGCUGGCCUCACCCCGAUCAAGCAACGGUGGAGAUUUGAAGAUUAAGAGACCUGGCUGAGCAAACUUGUUUCCAACUGGUUGAAGGUGAGUGUACAAACUUGAGUUACAGUUUGUUUGCCUUGUGUGUCUUUACGCAUUAACUACGUGAAAAACAAAACACACAAAAUUAACUCCCUAUCAUGUUUACAUUGGUUAUUUGCAGUGGCAAAGUCUCAACGAACACAAAUUUAAUUUGGAGAUAAGCCGAAAUAUGGGUUCUUGAAGAAUCUGAAAGUGGCUGAGUAUUCUAAAAUAAAUUUCGAGCGGUAGAGCAUAUGAAGAGGUGGCUGGAACUGGAACGUGCUAUAUAUACUGCUAUAUGUUCUCUUACAGGUGUAAUCUUGCUAUAUAAACUGCUAUCAACAGUUCUUUACCCCCUCUCCAACCAAUAUCAGAUUCAUGGAGUGAAAUUAUUUGUAUCUUUCCACCAUCUAAUGGUGAGAUUUUUUUUAGCAUCAGAAUUGUCACAGGGACAUUGUCUUAAGUGUUUGUUUAUAUCAUUUUUGUAUAAUUGAAGUUGUAUUCAUGUCAUCCAAAGAAAAAUUGAAUGCUAAUGGUAAAACAUUAUCGGUUAAUUAUUGAAAUCCAUUAAAUACUCAAUUACGUUGAAAUCUACCCAAAUACGUGUUAUACCCUAAUUAAAGAGAUGCAGUGAGGUGCAGGCUUCAUGGAUUGCAGAAUACUGCAGGAGAUAGCAUCAACAAGAGUUUAUGUCCAAGUUGGGGCUUAGAGGAGGACAUGUUUGCAUAUUUUUUGUAUAGUUUAAGACAAUUCUUUCUGCAUUUGAUGCACAGUGUAAUGUUUGUAGCAGGCAUGCCUGCUUUUACUGAAGAGAAACUGAUGGAAGAUCAACAAGGGUGACAUGUAGACAAAAGGUUCUCUUAAGAAAAGAAGCUGCUUGCACAAUAUCAUUACAGCUAAAUCAUUAAUUCCACCAUUUUCAUCAUCAUCAAACCAUUCAAUCAUCACCAAACUAUUUUCAUUCAUAACUUUUACAUAAUCUAAGUAGUCUGAAUCUCUUUUAGGCAUUGGCAACCUUCUCUUCCUUGCUGCUACUCUUCUCAUAUUAAUGGUAAGCUGAUGCACCAGACAGCACCGCCAGGGUUAAGGCUUGUGCAUGCAUCCUAUCAAAAUCAAAAGCAUCUUAUAAGUCAUUUCAAACACAAAAUUGCUGAUGAAAAUAUGCAAUUUGGGCAGGUUAAUUAUGCUUGAAAGAGAGAAGGUACCUGGCAUGAUUAAGCCUCAGACUUGGGUUAAGAGGAGCUCUUGCUCGAGUAUUAUAAGCCAGUGAUGCCCCAAUUGCUGAUGCCCAGAUGGUUCCUGUUACACCCAUUGCACCCUAUCAAUAAUUAAGAAAAAUUUCUAAAUUAUUUAAAAAAUUUUAAAUAAAUUUUUAUUCUUUUAUCGUAUUUAAUCAAAUUUUUAUAUUUUUAUUUUAGAUUAAAUAAACUCUUAUAACUAGUUAUUGAAUAAUUAUUAUUAAUCAAAAUACCACUUGUCAUUUUAUUUAUAUUCAUAUAAUACUAACACGAAAGAUGAAAACAUCAUAUGAUAUGUUAUCAUGUCACCUCAUCAUUUAUUAUGAUAAAUCUAUACACCACAUUAACUGACAUGAUAAAAAAUGAUAAAUCAUCCAUUAAUUACAAAAAUUUAUUUGAUUUAAAUUAAAGUAUAAAAGUUUGAUUAAACAAAUAAAAGAAUAAAAAUUUAUUUAAAUUUUUUAAAAAUAAAUUAGUAACUUUUUUAAGUAUUUUACCUUUUAUUUAGAAAGAUAUUACAUUUCCCUAGACUAGCAAGAAAGCCUGCAAUUAAUUAAAUUGGGGGUUGGAUCGGUGCAUCACUUUCAGUGGGCUUUGCCCCAUAACUAGAAGAGGGGAGAUAGCUUUGUUUCUUUUGUAGCCUAGGCUCAAUUAAAACUGGGCUCAAUUAUAUAUAUAUAUAUAUAGGCAUCAUAUACCAUAGUGAAAUAAUCCUAAUGUAAGAAUUCCAGCAACAAUUACAGAAUCAUAAAAGUUCUAAGCAUACAUAACUGCAUUGAUACAAACAGAUAAUGCAACAGGAAAACAUGGAGUUAGGUUCUAAAAAUGAUUGACUGCAUGAACCAGGCCACCAGAAAAAAGCAAGAGGAGAACAUGAAAGGCAGAGCUUGCCUUACAAUCUGCCAUUUUGUGUAUUGCAUGAACAAACUGCUAAAUUUUUAGCAGAUGAAUGAGCUUAAACAAACAUUUUCAUAGAGUGCUCAAAAUUAACUUAUAAAUAUGUUUUAAGUCUCAAGUUGGAUGAUAUGAUAAAGAAAUUGCCUAUAUAUUGCUUAUAUAUUGCCUAUAUAUAAAAGGAUAAAUUAGCUUAUAUAUUGCCUAUAUAUGAUAAAGAAAUUAACUUCUGUUUUUAUCAGAAAAAAAAAGGGGAAUUUUUUGUUUUCUCCAAUCUGAGGUCCAAUUGUAAGAAAUUGCUCAGCUUGGGUCAUUUGGAGGAUGAUUAUGUGUUUGAUUGCCAUUUUUGUUUCCAAUGGCAGCAAACAAUUUUAAAGCAUACAAAUUUUAAGUGAUAUAAAAGGAUUAGAAACACACCAGAAAUUCAAAAGUAUAUUCUGCAUAUUUAUAUCCAACAAUGUAUCAUUCAAAAGUAACACCAAGAUACAAGAGUCCAUACAUACUUCAUACCAGAAAUAGAACAAUUCAUUCUUGCCUUAAUUUCCUCAACUUUCUGCAGAAACAACAUAUGAAAAAACAGAAAGUAGGAGGAUGAAUAUUGAGAGAGAUGGAGAAUGCUAUUUCUUGUUUUGAACUCAUAUUAAAUAAUUGUGAUAAUGAUGGAAGUUUGUUAAAACCUUAUUCUAUUCAUGAUGAUGGCCUACAUAUUUUAAUUCAAAUGAAAUGACCAAUCGACCCUUCAAAAGAUUGGUCUGCUUACUUAUAUACAAGGAUUGUGAGAGGGGUAGAGGAGACAAUAGAUGAAGGUAUACCAAAAAGGAAGGUAGAAGUAUGUUGUUGUCGGUCAAAGAAAGAUGGGAAGUUGGUUGGACAAUGUGUUUUGAGUGAGUUUCAAAGAAGCCUGGAAGGGCUUAAACAAUGGAGGGAGGGAGGGGGUUUGAUUAGAAAAAGAAAAAUCAGAAAGUUAGGAAGAAGAAAAAAGACUUUCCAACUUCACAACAGCAAGGAUGUGCAAGGCUAGCACAUCCAACCUUUAGCCACUUUCUUAACAUUUCCAAAAUAUUAAUUGGCUUUCCUAGCCAGCCGGCCUGCCCAGCUCCUGUCUCCUCUCCUAGUCCCAUCUUUGCAUGAUUAACGGUAUAUCCAUUCCAUGUCUUUGCAUGAACAAACUGCUGAAAUUUAUAACAGAUGAAUCAUUGACAAAAAUUGCAAGUUCAAGAACAUAUGAUCAGCUAAACAAACACGAAACAGUAAGUGUUGCUUCUAAAUCGAGGUUUAAAAAUCCAGACUUUGGAGGAUUUCCAUCUUGGAAUGCUUUUGGAAGACAAAGUAGUAUGGAAUGGCUCACCGUGUCCAUUUGAAGCAAACAAAUCUCAAGUGAUACAUUAAACUGAUAGAAACACACAUCAGAAGUAUAUAUUCUAUGUAUUUGUACACAAUAAGAGUAAGUAAUUUCAGAAGUCACUCAAAGAUACAGAUGUUCAUACUUGUUACCAGCAACAGCUAGUUACUGUACAAAAGGAACACAGCUGCAAAAGACAAUUACAAAGGAAAAUUUCAUGCCCCUAAAUCCCCAAAAGCAAAAGUAACAUAUGGGUAAGCAGAAAAAGACAGCAUUGAUACUAAGCAAGUCUAGAACCAAACCAUAAACAAUCUGCUUUCCAAUUCAACUCCCAACUCUGAACAUGUUUAUACAUUUUUGUGACAUAUCUUUAAAAGCCUCCAGGCACCUUGAAUUAUAGAAACUAGUGACAGAGAGCACAAGGAGAUGGCACCCUCCAACACCUUGCUAUCCAGCCAUACCAAAUAUUUAGCAGGCACAAGGGCAAUUCAACUUGCAACCAGAGGCCAGCAAACACAAAGUGCAGCAGAGUAUGAGACAGAGUUCUUACCCCCAGAAAACUCUUUUCACGGACCACAUGCACCAGGUAGACAUUAUGGUAAAACCAACAGCAGGUCAUUAGCUCUCUCCACCCUAAACUUCACCAACCCAUCCGCAACUUCAUUGCCCGAUCUUGGGAAGUAUAAGAUUUGCCAUCUAAGAACCUUCAGCUUGAGUCCAAUGAACAGAACUUUUAGGAUCACUCUCCAUAAACCUGUGUCAACUGCGAAAUAUUAAAAAUGAGAAUGCUGAUAGAUCAACCAUCAAAAAUUGAAAUGAAUGAAAAAUAUUUUGUGCAUAACCAAAUUUUUAAUAUUAAAUGAUCUGUAUUAAUUCAUCUUUUUCAUUGCAUAUUUAUAACUAACAAGACAUGAUAAGCCUGUAGAAGGUGGAAAAUUUUAAGCAGAAUCUAGUAAAUGUUAGAUGAAAGAAGUGUAUUAAUCACAGAUAGAUGAAAGAAACUAAAGCUGACUAAGAAUCUAAGACUACAAACCUGUAGAAUUGUGCCUGGUUUGAAAUCGACAAGCAAUUGUAUUAAUCACUGACCUGAAAAAUGAAAACAAGAUUAGGCUUUAAGAAAAACAUUGACAAAGUAUUGUUCACUGUGUUUCACAUACAAACUCUUCUAGAGUUGUUUGUGAGAUUUUACCUCAUCAAGCUGGAUGGAAGGAAUACGAGCUAUCUUGAACCACUCCCUCCCCUUCCUAUUUUGAAGCUUCGGAUUCAGCAGAGAACAGUCUGUGAUACUUAGAGAAUACAAGGCGGAAGGCAGCCCAUGUUCCGGUAAGCAAUUAAGCUUGUUACAGCAAUUUAUUUCAAGUGUUUGAAGAGAGGUGAUGUUUUGAAGCCCCUCACCAUUUAGAAACUUAAGAUUUGAAAGCCUGCUGAUGCGUAGAGAGUUAAGAUUUGUUGGCAGCAAUCCCUCUUCUGGAAAUGACUCCAAUUCUUGGCAUCCACCUUCAAUCUCAAAAUGACUUAGAGAAUGAAGAUUAUCUAACUCCCACCCUUUUUGGGGAGUGAUUUUGUCACAAAAAGAAAUGCAAAGUAUGAUUAGGCUGGAUGGCAAGCCCUCUGUGGGAAGUGACUCCAGUGCUGGACAUUUGUUUAUAUACAGUGACUGAAGAGAUUUGAGGCUUUGCAUCCCUGGCAGUGACUUGAGACUCCCGCAAUUGAAGAAAACCAGUGAUGUCAGGUUUGGAGCUUGAAAUUCCUCUUCAACAAAGGACCUCAAAUUAGGACAACCUUUGAUUUCCAAGGAAUCAAGUGAAGUAAGUUCAUUCUGCAAUCCCUUCUCAAUUGAGAGAUGCUCAAGAUUUCUGCAGUCCCACAGACUAAGAGAUUUAAGUUUUGGGAAGUAAUUCAAUGGAAAAUUUUGGAGAGAAUCACAGCUGCUCCCUAAACAUAAAUCUUCAAGCCCUGAGUCUUGUUUCAUCACUUUGCUAGGUUGGGGAAAUUUUAACUUUUUGCAGUUAUGGAUAUAGAGUGUUUUCAAUGAAGGGGACUGAGGAAAGAUCUUGAGGGAAAUUGAAUCAAUGAUAUAUAAAUGUUGAAGUGAAGAUCUCUUCAAUAUUUCUUCAGGUAGCAUAUGCAAAGCAUAUCUCUCAAUUCUGAGGCUGUGCGAGUCAGUUGACAGUUCCAUUAACUGUGUCAUGCCCAUGCUUGACACAUUUAUGCUCAAGGAGGAAGAAAGCUGCUGGUUUUGAUCGUCACUUGAUGAAGGUGUUGGCUGAUUAUUAUCUUGCUCUUGAUGAAUCAUUCUUGGAGAGAACUGUGGUUCAACUGUCUGGUUAUCAUCAUUUCUCUUCUGCACCUUGUCACAGUUGUCUAACUUCAGUAAGCACCGUUCGGAAGUCCAUGGAAGUGAAGCUGCAAGCUGUUGACAUUUAGAAAUCUCCAGUUUUAUCAAAAAGGGAAGGCACUUCGGUAAAUCCCCUUCCAAUUUGGGACAGUUUAUUAUGUAAAACUCUUGCAGGCAGGGAAAUUCUUCACCUUCCACUUCAAGUGGUGUCCACCUUUCCCAUUGUAACAUUGCCUCAAAUUUCAAAGUCUUGAGAGACUGAAAUGGUUUCUGAAAAGUUAAAUCCAUCCUAUAAAAUUCUGGGCCAAUGCUUCUUACUCCCCCAAUCCUUUGAAUUAUGAGAUUUUCAAGAAAUGGCAGCUGCCCAAAUGGUGGCAAUGACGAGCAAUUAUUGUAGUCACUGAUACAUAGAAAUCUUAUUGUGGAAAGUGCAGAACCUUCCGACCACCGCACUGCUCUCUCCUUUGCUGGACUUUCAUUAAUUCUACUCCAUUCCAACGGUAGUUCAGUGCCUGGAAUCUCAGUCAUCAUCGAAGAGGAUUCUGAUCAAAUUUCACCAUCAAUUUUUGGCAGUGUCUUAUCUUGAGGAGUCUUCUCCAACUCUAGUUCGUCAAGAUAUUGCAUAGCUUCCAAAUUGGCUUCUGAUGCAUGAGAAGCAGAAGAUACAUCCUGCAACUCUGAAAUAGACAACGAUUCAUGAAGAUCUUUAAUGCUACCCAUGGAGGUAGAAAACUGCUGAUUUCCAUCUUCCCUUGAUGAAGGUGCUGUCUGAUUAUCAUUACUUCUCUUCUCCACCUCGUCACAGUUGUCUAACUUCGGUACACAACAUUCUGAAGUCUGUGGAAGUGAAGCCUCUAGCUGUUCACAAUUACAGAUCUCCAGUUUUACCAAAGCUGGAAGGCUCUUUGGUAAAUCCCCUUUCAAUAGUGGACAGUUUAUAACAUAAAACUCUUCCAGGCAGGGAAAUUCUUGGCCAUCCACUUCAAGUAGUAUCCAUUCUUCCCAUUGUGACAUUUCCACAAAUUUUAAAGUCUUAAGGGACUGAAAAGGUUUACAACCAUAUACAUCUACCCCAUAGAAUUCAUGGCCAAUGCUCUUUAUUCCUCCAAUCCUCUCAAUAAUGAGAUGUUCAAGGGAUGACAGCCGCCCAAGUGGAGGAAAUGACUUGCAGUUAAUACAGUCACUGAGAUGUAAAGAAAUUAUCUUCGAGAACGAAGAAUCUCCCAACCACUUUGGAAACUCUUUACCACCAUAAAAUCGAAUUGAAAGCUUUUUCAACUCCACAGAAGGCUUUAGAUUCUCUAGCACUUCUUUCUGAUCUGUUGCUGGAUCUUCAUUGUUACAGCUCCAUUCCAACUCUAGUUCAUCAAGAUAUAGCAUAGCUUUCAAAUUGGCUCCCGAUGCAUCAGAAGGAGAAGAUACAUUCUGCAACCCUGAAACAGACAGCGAUCCAUGGAGAUUUGGAAGUGCCCCCAGUUCUUUAAUGCUUGACCCACCGUGGCCCACAAUAAAAUUAGUCAAACUCUGAAGGCUUGUUAAUCUGCUCAUUUUUUUUGGCAUCUGCAUCAAGCCAGCUCCCUUAAUGCCGAGCUUUCGCAAGUUAACAAGCUUGACUAUGCCUUGGGGUAGCAUAAGAAGAGAAUAGCAGUUUGUCAAUAUCAAUGUUUGUAGAAAGUAGAGAGUAGACAAGGAUUCAGGCAAGCUUGCUAAUGCACUGUGAGAGACAUCUAGGUAAUGUAGAUAUUUCAAUUUUCCUAUUGAAUGGGGCAAUUUAGCAUGUGGAAAAUGAGGUAGGGAUAAGACUCGUAACCUUCGUAUUCUUGGAAAAAUAUCCUUCAAUGCUUGAGGACUUAUUUGACAAGAUCGAGAAUCUAUCAGAUAGAAGGUCCUUAACCUGUUCCAAUGAAGAACGACACUUAACAUUUCAGGGAUGUCACGUUCGUUUCUUAGCAAUGAUAGAUGGCGAAUCCUUUGAGGAUUUGCUGCUUGAUCGGAUGAUUCCCAUCUGAGACAAAGUUCUUUAGAUACAUCCUCAGCAAAACAAUGAAUAAGAUCAUGCAUUUUAAAGUGUGAGUUGUCAAUUGGUAUAAAGAAUGACCUCUUCAGUAAACCGUCAACGCAUUCAGCACCUACCGUUUCCAUUGAUUGGCCACUAGACAUUUGUAGAAAGCCUGCCGCCAUCCACAAGAGAACAAGUUCUUCCUUGUGAAACUCAUAAUCUAUGGGAAACAACGAGCAAUAAGCAAAACAGAGCUUUAGCAGUGCAGGAAGGUGAUAAUAGCUCAAGAGUACAAUUGAUGAAAUUGAAUCAUGGUUAUUAGCUUUUCGCAGGUCCUCCAGGACAUGGCACCAUUCUUCACGGCUCUUUUUGAAACGCAAGAGCCCUCCAAUUACUCUUACGGACAAAGGUAUACCGCCGCAGGUCUUCAAAAUUUUCAUGCCAAUAUCCUCUAGCAUAGCAAUUUCACUUCUAUCCCUCCCCGCAUAUGCAGACUUUGCCAACAAGGACCGGCAAGAAUCCUCUGUCAAUGGAUUUAGUUGAUAGCGAAUGGAACAGCCCAGACAAUCUGCAACUCCCUGACUGCGUGUAGUAACAAUGAUCUUGCUUCCCCUUGCACCAGAUUUGAGAGAAGUUUCUAGAUCGUUCCACUUAUUAAUAUCCUCAUUCCUAACAUCGUCUAAGACAAGGAGAAAUUUUUUUCCAUCCAAGCUUGCACUCAAUUUAUCAAGAAGGAGCUCAAGUGACAUGUCACCCUCAAUACUGCAGAAAGUGGGGGCCUUAAGAAUUAUCCUGGUGAUUCUGUCAACCUCAAAGUCCGUGUGAACACCUACCCAUGCCUUUAGUUCGAAAUGCGCUCUCACUUUUUCAUCGUUGUAUACAAGCUGCGCAAGGGUGGUCUUCCCCAACCCACCCGUGCCAACUAAGGCAAUCGCAUCAAGAUUCUCAUCCCCUGAUAGUAACAAGCCGACGAUGUUACUCCUGUCUUCUUCUCUGCCAUAGAUUGCGGUUUCAUCUAGCAAAGAAGUAGCAGGCAAGCUGUCUGAUAAUCGCAAUUCAUCACGCGUUUCUCGUUUUAUGAAGCCAUAUUUAUCCAUUUCUUUAGCAAUGACAUCAAUAUCUUCCACAAGGUUUCCGUUAAUCCAUAUUGGCUUCUCAUCUAGUGAUAAAACUAAACGUAAGGAGCUGAAAAAUUCAUCGCGGCACCUUAGUGCCUGGUAUUUGAGGUUCCGAGCUAUAGCUUCCACUUCGAGUCUUGCGGGUUCAAAUAAAAUAUCAUCCACAGAAUCCUCUGCGUCGUAGACAGCAUAUUCCAGUCUCAGAAGCCAAGCAUACACGCCGUGACUGUUGCAUCGUGGCUCCACUGCGUCGUGAAUCACAUAGCUAAUACUCGCCAGUGACGAUUCCAAGCGUUUCCAAAGUGAAGCAGAUGUUGUAUCUUUUGCGAAGCCAGGCGAUAGUAGAACAGAGUGAAUCUUGUCUAACAGCAAAGCAAUGGAACCAGGCAAAGCAGCGAAGCGCAAAUCAGCCAUUUCAAAUGGCAAGAGGUUGGUUUUGGUUGAUCUAAUGAGAUUUCGGAGGAACACAAACAGUAAGAAAGGACUUGGGACUUGGAUUUUUCGCUUGCGUAAAUAAUUGAGCGGAGCAGGAAAUUCGAUUAGGUGUACUGUAAAUUACGAAUUAGUGUAUGGCGGAAAAAAUAUUGAUUUUGCACGUAAUUACUUAAUGUAUUAUCCUUUGAGUGUAAUGCCAAUAUGGUUUUUAAUUGUUAAGAUAAAACAACCCAUUCAUAAACUUUAAAAUAUUAAAUAUAAAAACUAUAUAAUAUAAUAAUUCAAAAUUUUAAAAUUCUACGUAAUCACAGCUAGCAAUGAUCUUACACUUACAUUUUUAUCAUUAAAAUAAUUUUAAAAUAUUAUAUUAAUGUUUUAACAAUUUUAUGUAUAUAAGAAGUAAUGUUAAAUAUAAUAGUUUUGGUCUAAGUUUAAACUUAUGUUAUGGAUUUACAUUUUCAACUCAAAAGAAUGUUUAUUAUUUGGAAGAACGACCUUAGUCUACCUAAUAGAACAGUAAGAAAUGAGUUAAGUCUUGAACUUAUAAAUAAAAGUCUUCCUCCACCUAAUAGAUAUAUUCUUUUAGGUUUGAAAUAUGAAUCGUGGUAAGUGGUUUAGAGCAAAACCAACUCUUCACUAAGGUGGGACCCCCAAUGAGAGAUAAUAAAGUCGUAGUAGACUCGAAUCAAAGUACAAUCCUUUAUGAAAGAGUUCAUUCAAUGAAGACGUUGCAUAAUUGGGUGGAGUAUAACAUGUCAUAAGUCCUUCAUUAGUAAGAGAUGUGACGAAUCUUAUCCUCAUAAAUAAAGACUUUUUUUCACUUAACAUGUAUAUCUUUCGAGUUGAAAAUAUGGACCCAUGACACUUAGGACAUAUAAUUCGACCCUUAAUAAGCUAUAAGUGAAACAAACUUUAUUUGACCAAACAAAAUGUCUAAUUUUGUUUCUUUUUGUAAUAAGUCAAUAUGUCUUAACUUUAAAUGAGAAAAAAUCAAAGAUAUCAUGUAAAAAAUUAAAAUUAUAAGGGAUGUAAGUGAAAUUUUUCUUAUAUUCAAUUAUAAUAUCCUUGUGAUUUUAAAAGAAUUCACACUAUUAUUCGGUGGAAAAACACAAAUAAUUUCAUUCCUCCAUGAAUCUAACAUUGGUUGGAGAGGGGGCAAAGGAUUAUGAAAAAAGUUGACAGCGGUAUUCAUGGCAAGAUUACACAAAUUAAGAUAAUUAAUAAAAUAUCAACAUGCAUCAGAAAUAAUACAAUUCAGGAGAAAAUCGUCCUGUACUAGCUAGGCUUGCAAUCCAGGAACUGAGACAUUGAAAACAGAUGGCGAACCACCACAAUCGUAUUCUUUUAGCAGCAUCCCUGUUAUGUUAACAAACACAGAACAGGCCGAGGGGAGAAAAAGGAAAAUCACCUCCAAACAAAGAUUCAUUAACACCACUCAAAGAACAAUUCCGCCCAAAUUUUGCAAGAGAAUGGGCAAAGGCUUUUGCCCCUCGCUAGAGGUUUUAACUGCUAGCAAGCUGUCACAUUGCUGUGUAAUUUGUCACACCCAACGAUCUGCAAUUCCAAAUGGGGAUGUUGGAUGAUGGGUAGAGGCGCAUUCAGUCUCCUACAUUUAAUUAUAAAGAGUUUUUGAAGGGACGGGAAUCCUGGUGCAUUUGCGGAGGGUGACCAUUGCUCCCAAUUUUCCAUAUUCUCGAACCAUAACAUUUCCAGGGAUUUAAAGGCCACGACACCACUACCGUAGAAUUCGGGGCCCACGACUUUUACUCCAGCCAGGUCAUGUAUGUUGAGUUCUUUGAGAGAGGGUAGUUGCCCAAGUGGUGGCAGUGAGUUGCAUGUUUGGCAAUUAUCCAGAGUUAGUCUCUCCAUUUUGGAGAAUGAAGCAUUCCCUAACCAUUUUGGUAAAGUCAUACCAAAGAAGUUUUUAAUCUCGAGCCUCUCCAAAUUCUCCCCGGGCAGUAACUUGUCAAGUACAUCCGCUGCAUGCUUCGCACUAAGAUUCUGAGGAUCAUUCCCAGCACUCUGUCCAUUACGGCUCUCAGGAUUAUCCCAUUCCAAAAUUAACUCACGGAGGUAUUUCUUAUCCUUUAGAUUGGCCUUUUCUGCAUCUGCUGUUUGAGAGACAUUGUGUAGCUGCAAAAUGGAAAGGGUGCCAUGCAGAAGAGAAAGAUCCUUCACCUCACUAAUAGCUGACCCACUAUUGUUGCCCACAACAAAAUUAGUCAACAGCUGAAGACGUUUCAAAUUACCGAAAUUUGGAGGCAUUUGCAGGAUAGGCGUCCCUUUGAUGUCAAGAUGCUUCAAUUUGGUAAGAUUCUCCAUGCAUGUUGGCAAACAAGUGAGCUGAGGACAACGUGACAACUUCAGUGUCUGCAAAUUAUACAAAGAACAUGCUCCUUCAGGAAAACGUCGAAUUUUAGUGCCAGAAAAGUCCAAGUAGCCUAGCUGUUUUAAGUUGCCAAUUGAAUCAAGCAACUCCCCGAUAGGCGUCCCCUUGACGUCAAGAUGUUCUAGUUUGGUAAGAUUCCUUAGUUCUGCUGGCAACCACGUGAGACGAUGACAACCUGACAACUUCAGUGUCUCCAAGUUAUGCAAACAGCCUACCCUUUCAGGCAAACAUCGAAGAGCAGCGCCAGAAAGGUCCAAGUAGCGUAGCUGUUUUACGUUGCAAACUGAAUCAGGGAACUCUGUGAUAUUGUAAGAUGUUAAUGACAAUACCCGCAGGCAACUGGGCGCUGGAAACAAUUUGUUGAAGACUCCAGAAUCGAAAGGAGUCUUACCAUCACCUGGUGAUCUGAGCGGAAGGAAGGUCCGCAAAAACUUAUUUUUUCCAUAGAAGGCCUCAAAUUUAUAAGGCUUGUCACUUGGCUUUAAUAUGCAUGACAAAUGGCGAACCCUUGCAGGGUUUUGGGGAGGGCUAUCAUGCUCGGACCUGAAGCAAAAUUCUCCUGCUACAUAUUGAGCUAGAUCGUUGACAAGGUCAUGCAUUAUGAAACGUGAUUCAUCAUGACUCUGUUGAAAAAUUGACCUUGAUAACAGUUCAUGAAAGUACUGCUCGCCUACUUCCUCCUUUCUUCUACUGUGUGGCUGCUGAACUAGACCUUCAGCUAUCCACAUUCGAACCAAAU